CAGAGGAACUUAGUCAUUGACUGUGGUGGGGCUGCAGGACGAUAAGAAUUCGGAAGUGAAAGAACUCAGAAGGCAGUGCCAGCAGCUGGAGUCUGUUAAACGGAGCAGUCUGUGUCAAAAGAGCUUCUCUCCAGAGUAGAAAGAUUUAUUUUCUUUUUGAAUAUAUUUUCUACACCAUGGUUUCUCAACCAGAGGUGAUACAGCACUGUCUCCAAAUGUGGAGCUGUUGUGUAUUGUCACGGGGAGGAGAAAUGCUACUGGCAUUUAGUGGAUGAUGGUCAAGGACACUAAGCAACCUGCAAUGUGUGGAUCAAUCUUACACAACGAAGGACUGUUCCACCCCAAAUGCCAAUGGUACCCUGUUGAGAAAGGAUUCAAGAUGGAUUGGCAUCAAAGUUCACUUCUUUAACAAAAGUGCUUUAUGACCUUAAUAAAAUAUUAGAGAAUGGUAGGAUCCAUGGAAGCCCUUUACAAAAACUUGUGAUAGAAAGUUUUGAUGAUAAGCAGACUUUGCAACAACUGGAAUUGCAAAAUGACCCAAUUUUACAAAGCUUCCAGAAUGCAGUUAGUGAAACAAAGAUGAAGAUAUCAGUAUCCCAGAGAGUGAAGAACAGGAGCAUGAAGAGGAUGGUUCAGAGACAGAGGCUGAUGGCCAGGAGGACCUAGAAGAUUUAGAGGAGGAGGAGGAAGUGUCAGAUAUGGGUGGUGACAAUCCUGAAGUGAGUGAGAGAGCAAACUCAAGCAAAUUCGAUCCGACGAAAAGCCCAGUUCUCAGUGAUGAGGAUUCUGACCUUGACUUUCAUAUCAACAAAUUGGAACAGCAGAGCAAGGUGCGAAACAAAGGACACGGGAAACCAAGAGAAAAGUCCAUAGCAGAUGAGAAAUUCUUCCAACUCUCUGAAAUGGAGGCCUAUUUAGAAAACAGAAAAAGAAGAGGAACGAAAAGAUGUCAGGUAAAAGUUCCAGAAAUGUGAAGGACAAAGACUUUUUUUGAUCCAGUUGAAAGUGAUGAAGACAUAGCAAGUGAUGAUGAUGAUGAUCUGGGUUCAAACAAGCUGAUGAAAUUGCUGAAGAAGCAGCAGAAGAACUAAGCAUUUCUGAAAUCAUGUCUCUUCUGACAAAGCUGUCCCGACAGCCUCUUCUUGUAACUGUUUUGACUGCUCCGGAGGAUGCCGCCUAUGUCUUUAAGGUGCUCCACAGAUUUUGAUGAAUGAAAAAAAUUACACCUUUAGAAAAAGAGUUGUUAUAAAAAAGCCUUGGUUGCGUCUGGGGGAAGUGACAGCACAGAAGAGACCAGAGAAUAGCCUGCUGGAGGAGACCCUGCACUUUGACCAUGCUGUCCGGAUGGUGCCUGUGAUUACAGAGGAAAUACCUUUCAACUGGAAGAUAUCAUUAAACACAGGAAAAGAGAUCAGGU
rnacentral:lncRNA from 1 species